AUUGAACGCUGGCGGCAGGCCUAACACAUGCAAGUCGAACGAGUGGCGGACGGGUGAGUAAUGUCUGGGAAACUGCCUGAUGGAGGGGGAUAACUACUGGAAACGGUAGCUAAUACCGCAUACCAUCGGAUGUGCCCAGAUGGGAUUAGCUAGUAGGUGGGGUAACGGCUCACCUAGUCGACGAUCAGUAGCCGGUCGGAGAGGAUGACCAGCAACACUGGAAAUGAGACACGGUCCAGACUCGUACGUGAGGCAGCAGUGGGGAAUAUUGCACAAUGGGGGCAAGCCUGAUGCAGCCAUGACGCGUGUGGGAAGAAGGCCUUCGGGUUGUAAAGCACUUGCAGCGGGGAGGCGUUACCCGAAGAAGAAGCACAGGCUAACUCCGUGCCAGCCGCCGCGGUAAUUC
rnacentral:rRNA from 1 species